rnacentral:rRNA from 1 species
AUACGAAGAGUUUGAUCCUGGCUCAGGAUUAACGCUGGCGGCGUGCCUAAUACAUGCAAGUCGAACGGAAGUUUAAGCAAUUAAACUUUAGUGGCGAACGGGUGAGUAACGCGUAAGCAAUCUGCCCCUAAGACGAGGAUAACAGUUGGAAACGACUGCUAAGACUGGAUAGUAGACAAGAAGGCAUCUUCUUGUUUUUAAAAGACCUAUUAAUAGGUAUGCUUAGGGAGGAGCUUGCGUCACAUUAGUUAGUUGGUGGGGUAAAGGCCUACCAAGACUAUGAUGUGUAGCCGGGCUGAGAGGUUGAACGGCCACAUUGGGACUGAGACACGGCCCAAACUCCUACGGGAGGCAGCAGUAGGGAAUUUUCGGCAAUGGAGGAAACUCUGACCGAGCAACGCCGCGUGAACGAUGAAGUAUUUCGGUACGUAAAGUUCUUUUAUUAGGGAAGAAUAAAUGAUGGAAAAAUCAUUCUGACGGCACCUAAUGAAUAAGCCCCGGCUAACUAUGUGCCAGCAGCCGCGGUAAUACAUAGGGGGCAAGCGUUAUCCGGAAUUAUUGGGCGUAAAGGGUGCGUAGGCUGUUAAAUAAGUUUAUGGUCUAAGUGCAAUGC